AGAUCGGACGUGGAUAUUGUUCGUCGUUGCUGCCUGGAAUUUCGAGCCCAGUUUUUGGAUGUGGCGGGUGUAGAUCCAUUCCAAUACGUGACCAUUGCGUCAGCCUGUAUGGCAACGUAUCGGAGUGGCCACAUUCAGCCCAACACGAUUGCCAUGGUGCCCACACACGGCUACGUCAACUCCACGAAUUACAGCCCUUGAUUCGAUCCGGUGGUUGGACUUUGUUGCUGCUUCGGAAGGCAUUGCCAUUCAACAUGCGUUGAAAGGUUCGGGAGAAUACAGAAUCGCCGGAAUCUCGGUAGACGGUUUCUGGCAAGCAACACAAACCGUCUAUCAGUUUCAGGGCUGUUUCUUCCAUGGGUGUAGUUCGUGCUAUGACGGGGAUAUCAUUCAUCCGCUAAAAGGGAUUUCCAUGGGAACGUUGAGGGAGGAAACGGAAGAGACGACACGAAAACAGGGUUUCCACGUCAUAGAAAUGUGGGAGCACGAGUUUCAGAGAGAAAAAGAGAAAAAUCCAAACCUCCAAAGCUUUCCUAGAUCAACACCAUUUGAGAGACCGGCUCAAUCCUCGCGAGUCAUUUUUCAGAGGACGGACCAAUGCCCUCAAAUUGUUCGUGGAUUUCACAUCGCUCUAUCCAUGGGUGAACAAAUAUUGCGUCUACCCCCGUGGGACUUCUGGAAAUCAUCACGGAAAGCUUCGGUGAUAUAGAACACUACUUUGGCAUCAUUCAAUGCCGUGUGUCAUUCCUCCUCGGAAACCUAUAUCUUCCAGUAUCUGCC